UACGGAGGGUGCGAGCGUUGUCCGGAAUCACUGGGCGUAAAGGGCGCGUAGGCGGCUCAUGAAGGCUGUGGUGAAAGUCCGGGGCUCAACCUCGGAUCGGCCGUGGCGACUCGUGGGCUGGAGCACUGUAGAGGCGGGUGGAAUUCCUGGGGUAGCGGGGAAAUGCGCAGAGAUCAGGAGGAACACCAAUGGCGAAGGCAGCUCGCUGGGACGGUACUGACGCUGAGGCGCGAAAGCGUGGGGAGCAAACAGG
rnacentral:rRNA from 1 species